GACGUAGGGCGCGAGCGUUGUCCGGAUUUAUUGGGCGUAAAGAGCUCGUAGGCGGCUUGUCGCGUCGACUGUGAAAUCCCGCGGCUCAACUGCGGGUCUGCAGUCGAUACGGGCAGGCUAGAGUUCGGUAGGGGAGACUGGAAUUCCUGGUGUAGCGGUGAAAUGCGCAGAUAUCAGGAGGAACACCGGUGGCGAAGGCGGUUCUCUGGGCAUUACCUGACGCUGAGGAGCGAAAGCAUGGGGAGCGAACAGG
rnacentral:rRNA from 1 species